rnacentral:misc_RNA from 1 species
GAUGAAGAACGCAGCGAAAUGCGAUAAGUAAUGUGAAUUGCAGAAUUCAGUGAAUCAUCGAAUCUUUGAACGCACAUUGCGCCCUCUGGUAUUCCGGGGGGCAUGCCUGUUCGAGCGUCAUUAUAACCACUCAAGCUCUCGCUUGGUAUUGGGGUUCGCGGUUCCGCGGCCCCUAAAAUCAGUGGCGGUGCCUGUCGGCUCUACGCGUAGUAAUACUCCUCGCGAUUGAGUCCGGUAGGUCUACUUGCCAGCAACCCCCAAUUUUUACAGGUUGACCUCGGAUCAGGUAGGGAUACCCGCUGAACUUAAGCAUAUAAUAAGCGGAGGA